CCUACGGGGGGCUGCAGUGAGGAAUAUUGGUCAAUGGGCGAGAGCCUGAACCAGCCAAGUCGCGUGAGGGAGUACUGCCCUAUGGGUUGUCAACCUCUUUUGUCGGGGAGCAAAAGCCGGACGUGUCCGGCUGUGAGAGUACCCGAAGAAAAAGCAUCGGCUAACUCCGUGCCAGCAGCCGCGGUACUACUGAGGAUGCGAGCGUUAUCCGGAUUUAUUGGGUUUAAAGGGUGCGCAGGCGGAUUUUUAAGUCAGCGGUCAAAUCUUGGGGCUCAACCCCAUCCAGCCGUUGAAACUGGGGAUCUAGAGUGUGCGAGAGGUAGGCGGAAUGCGUGGUGUAGCGGUGAAAUGCAUAGAUAUCACGCAGAACCCCGAUGGCGAAGGCAGCAUACCGGUGCACAACUGACGCUCAGGCACGAAAGCGUGGGUAGCGAACAGGAUUAGAUACCCUGGUAGUC
rnacentral:rRNA from 1 species